AUGUUGGCAAGGGCGAUGGCCGAGGAAGCCAGCGUGCCCUUCUUUGCGUGCAGCGGCAGCGAAUUCAACGACGACUAUGUGUUCGUUGGGGCAAAAAGAGUGAGGGCGCUCUUCGCCGCGGCGAAGAAACGAGCUCCUUGCAUAGUGUUCAUCGAUGAGAUCGACGCCAUCGCUGGGAGUGGGAGCAGGAACUCAUAUGGUUCAGACUCGCAGAUACAUACCCUGAACCAGCUGCUAGUUGAGCUAGAUGGCUUCGAGCAGAAUGACGGGGUUAAUCGUGGUCGCGGCGACCAACAUCCCCGAGUCAUCACUGGAUAA
rnacentral:rRNA from 1 species